CGGGGUGAGUAAUGCUUGGGAAUCUAGCUUAUGGAGGGGGAUAACUACGGGAAACUGUAGCUAAUACCGCGUAAUAUCGAAAGAUUAAAGUGUGGGACCUUCGGGCCACAUGCCAUAGGAUGAGCCCAAGUGGGAUUAGGUAGUUGGUGAGGUAGAGGCUCACCAAGCCGACGAUCUCUAGCUGGUCUGAGAGGAUGACCAGCCACACUGGGACUGAGACACGGCCCAG
rnacentral:rRNA from 1 species